CACGUAGGGGGCGAGCGUUGUCCGGAUUUACUGGGCGUAAAGGGCGCGUAGGCGGUUUCUCAAGUCGGGGUGAAAUUCCGAGGCUCAACCUCGGAACUGCCUCCGAAACUGGGAGCCUAGAGGUACGGAGAGGGAAGUGGAAUUCCUGGUGUAGCGGUGAAAUGCGUAGAUAUCAGGAGGAACACCAGUGGCGAAGGCGGCUUCCUGGCCGUAUCCUGACGCUGAGGCGCGAAAGCUAGGGGAGCGAACGGG
rnacentral:rRNA from 1 species